AGGAGGCUAGAAAAUACUUGAGUGGUUUUAGGAUUUUUUUCUAUUUGGUAAGUGAAAUUAUCUUCAAAUUUUGUGUAUUUAUAACUAACUUAGUUGUUGAGAAGUGUAUCAAAUUUUAAAUAAGAUCAAUGAUUUGAUCAAUAGAUAUUGAGGUUCUAAAUUAUACUAGGAUUAUAUUAAGUUGGUUAGGUUUUGAUUAAGAUUUAGUUUAGGAUUACGAUUUAGGAUUUGGUUAAGGUUUGAUUAAGAUUUAAGGUUGGACUAGAGUUUAAGAUUCGAAUUAGGAUUUAAUUAGGAUUUAGGAUUUAAUUUAAGAUUUGCUUAGGAUUUGCUUAGGAUUUGCUUAGGAUUUGCUUAGGAUUUAAUUUAGGAUUUUCUUAGGAUUUAAGAUUUAAGAUUUUUUUAGGAUUUAUGGUUUAGAAUUUUCUUAGAAUUUAAGAUUUAGGAUUUUCUUAGGAUUUAGAAUUUAGGAUUUGUUUAAGAUUUAGGAUUUAGGAUUUGCUUAGGAUUUAGGAUUUAAGAUUUAAAAUUUGGCCUAGAAUUUGAUUGAAGUCCAUUAGGAUUUUAAUUAGGAUAAAAUUAAGACUUGGUUGAGAUUUAUUUAAUAUAUAUUUGUAAUUAUUCUAAAAUUUCUUUAGGAUUUCUUAGGAAUUCUUUUGAAAU
rnacentral:lncRNA from 1 species